rnacentral:lncRNA from 1 species
UUCCUUUGACCAGCGGGUCCUCGAACCAACCUUCUCGUUUUCUUUCUCGUUAGCGCUUUAGUUUUCAAUAAGUUUAGGCUUGAAUAUAAUAGAAUGUAUAGGGCUUUUCUCGCUUGUUUAGUAUUGCUUUGGCUUCGCCGUCCAUAUCUUGCUGGCGCGGAAGCUGCCUCAACUAAAAAAAAUGAAUUAAGGAAGAAGGCAUUAGCAUUAAAAAGACUACAAAGGCAUUCCGGGCUGACUACAAUACAAGUCAUGAGCGAUAGCAAAGCCAGAUAGGCUUUUUUAUUUAUGUUGAAAGCCCCAAAACUAGCAAUCUUAUAGCAGA